CUAGCUACUUGAAAAUGUACCUUUCAGUUGAAUGAAACUGUUAACGUUACCAACAUGUCGCCACCGCUCGGCGUCUUACGUUUGCCACUCACCAUGUUCAGCAUCUGAAACGACACAAACAGAAACGGCAGACCCCUGAAAAAAAAAUAGUGGUGAGAACCACAUAACUGCAACCGAGAUGGCUCUACUUCCUCCUGCUGGCACUGUAACAUGUCUGCACUUGCUUUCACUAUAACACGGACGAAUACAGGACACUGAUGAGUUGGGAUGCUCAACAGCUCACAGGAUAUUCAACUGCAUCCGAGGAGAAAAAAUAACUAUCAGACCCACUGCUAGAUGAUCAAGAUGAAUGGCGUGCCUCCUUCACCAGCAGGUUUGGGAUGAGCACACUGGUGUACUUUUGUCUCACGCAGCCUGCUAUUGGGUCUGUCUCUCUGGUUCUCUGGUAAAUAUUUAAUCUGCACCACAAUAUUUGAAAUAUUUUAGACCUCCGUAGUGAUAAAAAAAAAAAAAAAAAAGUAGAACGAGGCUUAGAGGGCAGAGUUACUGUCCUCAUUUAUAACUGGUCUGUUUACUAUAAAUAUGAUCUUAACCAGAUCACAGUUUUGACCACACAAAUACCAUGUAAAUGUAUGUGAAGGGCACAAGUUCCAUUCUAACGUGGAUUUUUGACUGAUGCUGACUAUGUGAGACAAAGAAAGAAGAAAAAGAAAAACUUCU